rnacentral:lncRNA from 1 species
CGAAGAGAAAACGCGUGAUUUUCGGGUUAAAUGGGGGAUUCUCGAAGAGAAAACGCGUGAUUUUCGCUUAAAUGAGUGAUUUGCGAAGAGAAAACGCGUGAUUUUCGCUUAAAUGGGGGAUUCUCGAAGAGAAAACGCGUGAUUUUCGCUUAAAUGGGGGAUUCUCGAAGAGAAAACGCAUGAUUUUCGCUUAAAUGGGGGAUUCUCGAACAGAAAAUGUGUGAUUUUC